GUGCCUACGGGGGGCAGCAGUGGGGAAUAUUGCACAAUGGGGGAAACCCUGAUGCAGCGACGCCGCGUGAGCGAAGAAGUAUCUCGGUAUGUAAAGCUCUAUCAGCAGGGAAGAAAAUGACGGUACCUGACUAAGAAGCUCCGGCUAACUAUGUGCCAGCAGCCGCGGUAAUACAUAGGGAGCAAGCGUUAUCCGGAUUUAUUGGGUGUAAAGGGUGCGUAGACGGGAAAUUAAGUUAGUUGUGAAAUCCCUCGGCUUAACUGAGGAACUGCAACUAAAACUGAUUUUCUUGAGUACUGGAGAGG
rnacentral:rRNA from 1 species